AAUUGCAGGCGUAUCCAUUAGCAUCCGCCGCCUGGAUUCACGUUUUAGUUAAACUGCGAGGGCACGUUCAGUGACGUAGACGAGCAUAUCAGCUGCGUGCAGCCAUAUUUAAAUACAUCAAGGCAAUUAGCCCAUCAAAAUAUGCAAAUCCCCCUCCUUACUACAUUGCCAGUGCAGCACGGCCGCAGUCGCAGGAUAAUUUGUACACCCACUACAGCGUGCGUGUGUUUUUUAAUGACUGCCGUUUUGAAAGAGCGACCACUGCGUUUGUUUUGUUCCAACAAGAAGGCAUAUAAAGCGAGCGGGACGGAAAGAGGAAGGCAUGAAGAAGAGGAGAAGAAGUGGAACCGGGAGACUGCUGCUGCGUGGAAAAAACGCCCAUGCGUAAUGAGACUAUCCGCGCCGACUAUUCUAUCUUAAUUCCUCGACGCCGUUGGCUCUGGUUUCUUGGGAACAUGCAACGUCUCUGGACGAUGAAGAUGACGACCAUGACGAUUAAACAGGGUCGGAGUCAAUGAAAAUUACUAAAUGGUGAAUGGUGACAUCUAGUGGUAAACUUGGAGAAUGCGCUCUGUGGAGGAAGAGUAGUGGUUUACCAGCUUCCACGACUCGUGCAGCUUGAAUAAUCCUGACUGUUGAUAGAAAAAGAAGAAAUAUUUAAUGCAUUCGUGCAUUCGUCGUCUUAGCCCCAAUUAGUUCAUGAUUUUUAGCUUUAAAAAGUUCACUCUGCUGUACCAAUGAAGCAAGUAGGCGGAAGGCUGGGCAAAUUAAUGCGAUUUGGAUCGAGAUGGACUUUGUUAGAUGCGCGCGCCUUGUUCUUUGUAACAGUUCAUUUUUAAUUUUUGUAGUCUCUUAAUAGUCGAUUGAUAUUUUUUCCUUUGCGUCAGUGCUCGUCUUAGAUAGACUCUGAUCUACUCAAUCGAAUCCACCCGGUCCACGAGUGACUCGAUUUCGUUAAUUGCAGCAGCGAAUUAUAUACAGCUCUGAAAAAAGCUGCAUUUUUUUUCUUAAAAAAUUAAGAAACCACUUAAAAUGAUCAUUUUAUCCGAUUUUACUUUUUAUAUGUGUUUGAGUAAAAUGAACAUUGUUCGUUUAUUCUAUGAACUACUGACAAAGUGCCUCCGAAAUUCCAAGCAAAAAAUUUAGUACUUAUUUGCAGAAAAUGAGAAAUGGUCAAAAUAACGAAAAAGAUGCAGUGCUUUCAGACGUCAAAUAAUGCGAAGGAAAAACGUUCAUGUACAAUUAGAAAGAACAAUACUAAUGUUUUAACUCAGGGAGAGUUCAGAAAUCAUUAUUUGGUGGAAUAACCAGGAGGAUUUCAAUGCUGUUCAGAAUGUUGAGAUCAUUUUACAUUGCAUUACAUACUUACAUGCAAAUAUGACGUGGAACAAUAAACUAUCCAUUAAAACUGUACUUGGAAUUAAUUAAUGCAAUCAUUUUGUCAGUAAUAUUUGUUGUGAUUGUACUAUUUAGCUUAUUGGAUUUUUAGCGACUUACUUUUUGUUCAUGUUUAGAUUAUUUAGGGAAAUAAUGAAUGGUUUUUUUUUUUUCUGUCUCUCAUUUUUGCUGCUUACAUCAGUUUAGUAGAAACUCAAAUAGGCCACCAGCUAAAUCUUUGCUGCGCUGCAUGCAGUAUGUAGGUCUAUUUGAAGUUCGAACUAUUAUGCAAAGACUCGAAAAAUCAAACUAAAUUGCGACACGACGUUAUUUUUUAGAGCGUUCCAGCGGUUUAAUGUGACCAAUGGAAACCGAUAAGGAUUCACCAGCGAUCAACACACGAAGUAGCGCCAUGUAUUAUUAUCUUUACCUUUAAAAAAAAAAAAAAACAGAUUCAGGAGAAAAUGAAUCUGUUUAUGCGCACCACUGAGCAUUUAAUAACACAACUGAGAUAAUUCCAAUGAAUUGCAAUUUAUUAGUUUACUUGACAUGAAAUAGGAUGAAUAGAAACUGAAACAUUUUGUACUUUGCGUUUUGUCUUUAUGUGCAAUGAAUGAAAAAAGACUUAGAUAAUGUUCAAAGCAAGUGUCGUAUUUCCUUGUAGACGGAAUUUGUUCAUCCCUUGUUUAUGAAGGGAUGAACAAACAGAGACAGGAUCUAACAAUAUCUUUGUUCUGUUUUAUGUCUUUAUUUCUAAUAUUUCAUGUUUUCCCUUUUUUGUCACUGACGUAGCUGUAAGGUCAUCCCAUCAAUCUAAUCAGUUGUCCUGAUUGGCCCAAAUGUAUUGUAAGAUCACAAAUACGCCAUGAAGUGACGUCAACAUUGCAGGUUUCUCAUAAUGAAGCUAUUUUUCAGCUAGGCCCUUUAUUUUUUUAUUUACCUAUUACGAAAAGAUGACUAUCGACUUAACAAGGGCCCUUUGAUGAUAUUUUUAGUUGAUUUAUUAAGACUUUUAUUGUCUUUUUUUAGUGCGUUCAUUCAUCGUCAUCACAGCAGUUUUGAACAGUUCUCUUUAUUAGGCCUAUUAUAACGUAAGCUCAAAAAGCGCCAUCCAAUGACGUCAAAAAUGGCAGAUUUUUCACAAUGAAGCCGCAGCGCAGCGAAACCUGUGAAUUUAUUUAAUUUGUACAAGUCAAAAAAGUAAAAAAAAAAAAAAAAGGAGAAACGUAUAAGUGAAUAUUGGCAUUUUUUUUAACCUAUACUGUUUUCUGACUAUAUUGAAGAUCAAAUGAACUCUACCAGCUUCUGUGAGUUUCAAUGUGGUGAUGAAGCUAAUUGUGAAUAUUGAAACAAAGUGUGGAUUUUGCGUUUUACCACUAUUUAAUAUUAACCAUCCUAAUGACAAAGGUUCACCUAAAAUGUAUUAUAUUCUAGAUUUUAGGGAAUUGAGAGAAAAUGAGAGCUGAAGGCUCAAGUGCAUCUUGUUUUCAUUUGAUUUUCUUUUUUAAACUUUAUUUCUUGAAGGACUUCUUUGUAACAUCAUCACAUUAUUACUAAGCAACUCUCCGGAUUAUGCCUGUUCUAUUUUAAGCUCACAAAUGAGAAAUACAGUGAUGUGAAAAUUAUAGAUAUCCACAAUAAGAACCCAUAUGAGCUAACCUCAUUGAUUGCUUUAUUUUCAGCUAUGUGUUGAUCAUUUGCAUGAGCAAAAAACAAUGGGAACAAAUAUCGAGAUUACAUGUAUUUUCCCUGUAUAAUCGGUUAUCUUUAAUGCUUUAAUAUUUUCAUUAUUUUUAUUUAGAAUCCAAUGAGCCAAUCAUGGUUUGAGCAACAGUUUGAGCAACACAAACUGCGUUCGCUUUUUUCCAUGUACUGUUUCUUCUACCUGAUGGAGAACACGUGUCUGUUCUUUGAUUUGCAAGAGACCUUUUUCACUAAUAAAAUAUAUCACCACUGUAAUUAUAAGUGUGAGAAAAAAAAAAAGUUUUUCAUUAAAUUGUUUAAUGUAUGUUUAAAUAAAAAGAAAUGCAGUCUCUC